rnacentral:rRNA from 1 species
CCUACGGGCGGCAGCAGUGAGGAAUAUUGGUCAAUGGGCGAGAGCCUGAACCAGCCAAGUCGCGUGAGGGAUGACGGUCCUAUGGAUUGUAAACCUCUUUUGUCGGGGAACAAAGGCGUCCACGUGUGGACUGAUGAGUGUACCCGAAGCACAAGCAUCGGCUAACUCCGUGCCAGCAGCCGCGGAAAUACGGAGGAUGCGAGCGUUACCCGGAUUUAUUGGGUUUAACGGGUGCGUAGGCGGACAGUAAAGUCAGCGGUAAAAAUGCGGUGCUAAACGCCGUACAGCCGUUGAAAUUGGCAGGCUUGAGUGGGCGAGAAGGAUGCAGAAUGCGUGGUGUAGCGGUGAAAUGCAUAGAGAUCACGCAGAACUCCGAUUGCGAAGGCAGCAUACCGGCGCCAUACUGACGCUGAGGCACGAAAGCGUGGGUAUCGAACAGGAUUAGAUACCCUAGUAGUC